GCUAUGUUGCCCAGGCUGGCCUUGAACUCUUGGGUUCAUGCAGUCCUCCCACCUCAGCCUCCCAAAGUGCUGGCAUGACAGCUGCGAGCCAUGGCGUCUGACCCCCGAUGUUUCUAUUUAAAGUUAUUUCUAUGGUUUUAUACAAAAGGUCACAUGCAGUCCACACUGUUCUGCCGUUGACUUUCUGCAGUGUACCCUGGUGCCUCUCCAUUGGGUAUAUCUGCCUGAUUAUUGGCAGCAGCCGUGUGGCAUUCCGUGGCAGCGCCGCACUCAUCACACCUGAGCAGUGAGAAUAAAUGGGCAUCUUCUCUGAAGGCACCUCAGCUCUGCAGCACCACGGGGCGGCGCUGCCACGGGCCCAGACCCUGCCCUCUGAGUUCCAAGUCAGUCCCAGAGCGCAGAUCCCAGGCUGAGGAUGUGCCAGGAGGUGCCUGGCCCUGGAAGUGUCCACCCUUCAUCUUACUGGGAGACUGGCGCUCCGUGGCCCUUUGGGGCAGGCCCCAGUUUGUCGAGCAGCUGCAGCUCUGACUAGUGAGGCACAAGGGAGCUCUGCUGAGGCCUCUGGGGUCCCCACGCUGGGAAGUUCUCCCUGCAGGGGACACCUGGUGUAGAAGCCCCGAGGGAGCAGCCAGGAGCCCAGCACUGAGGGUGGUGGAGCAGGUAGAUGGAAAGAACUCUCUUCCCAAAGACAAGCCGCAGAGCCGCAUCCCUUCCCCAGCCCCUGUGUUAGGCCGUGAGGCAUCUUCCUGCCAGGCUGCACCAGGGCUUUCAGGUUUUGUUGCUCAGCACAUCCAGGGUCAUGCACUUCAGGACAAGCCACCUGAUGCCCCUCGGCCCCCCAGUCCUGCAGCCUCGCUGGAGCUCUCCCUGCAGCAGGAAGGGCUGAGGCCAACCACAAAGGGGCUUGGGGCGACAUCAAGGGAUGGCAGAGCGAGAGGGAAGUGCAGGGAGCCUGGCCCAGAAGACCAGCCCUGCCGCCGCCUCCUGGAAGGGGCACACCUCCUGAGCUAAGCCCAGGAUGCCGCCCAAGCCUCGGGGCCUCCCAAGGUGUCCCCCAUGCCAGAGUGUGUGGCCUCUGCCAGGCCCAGGAUGGCUCCAGGUGGUUGGACUCCCAUUUCCUCUCCCCUUCCCAGGUCUUUCCCAAGCCCAGAGCCCCUGCUUUAGUUUUCCAGUGUGGGGAGACAGGAGAGUGGCCACAGAGCCUGGUUCUGCGCUUGGUGCUGCUGGACUCCAAACCUGGCUCUGGAGCUGCAGUCCUGGUGAGGGCGGUGGCCCUGGGGAAGAUGAGCUCCCCAACACUUGUUACGGCAGUUUCCAGUCACAAGCCGCAAGGACACAGUCUCAAAGGAGCAUCAGAUGGGGUUGGGGGCAUGUGGGGUGGCCCUGGCUCUCCCAGGUGGGGUCCUGCCAGGCCAAGAGCUAUGCUAAGUGGGGCCCACCAUGGCCAUAGGCCCCUCCGUGUCACCUGGCAUAAUCAGCUGGUAGAAACAGCCCUUGGGGACUACAUCACCUGACCUGAUCUCCAGGUUCCAGGUACCAUUUCUUACUGCCCCCCAGCAGCACUGUGCCCCUGUCCACAGGUCAUGUGACUGGGUGUCGGGCACGGUUCCCUUGCAGCAAUGAACAGUACAUCUGUGGAUGAAGGUGGGCAGAUAGAGGUUUGGCGGGGGGUGGAGCGGGGCACUGAUCAUGGCAGCCUGCUGUGGCCAGCCCCAAGGGCUUCCCGGUGACUUCUCAGAGCCUGAAUGUCUCCCCUGGACAGGUGGGAUCGAGGGAAUGCCAUGAAGGUGGGCAUGAGGGGGAAUCUCGCCAGGGGUACAGUGCGUCUACACUGCUUUUCAGACUAGUGCCACGCAGGCACUAGGUCUCACUGGCUGAGGGGCAGCCUCUGUCCCCAGGCGCCGCGACUUGCCCCAUCUGCUGCAGAGGAGGCCCACCUGUGGUGAGCAUUGUGGUCUUGGGGCCUGCAGGCGCCCUUGUGGAGUUACCAUGGUGACCGCAGCCCCUUGGACUGGUGCUGGGGAUUCAGACACCAGGUCACGUAGGCCUUGGCUCGUGGCAUGGCCAAGCCCUGGGGUCUGUCGGGGUUGGCAGGGCAGGCUUCCUGGAGGAGGGGCUGAGGCCGCGUAUUCUCCCUCUCAUCCUGCCAUCCGCUGCGGCUACUCUCCAGGGCCACAACUGUCACAGAACGAGGAACCCGGGCCUUGUGCAGAAGAGCCUUGUGUAGGUGGAUUGAGAAGAGAGUCCCAGAGGAGAAGCUGAGCCCUCUGCUGACUUGCCCCCAGCUCAUUUCUGCUUGACCUUUCCUUGUUGCCGUUUUUGCUUGGAAACUAUAUUGUGGACCUCAUCAUUCUGGGAAAAGGUGGUUCACGAGAAAGCACAGUCAUGUGUCAAUUAACAGUGCAGAUGCAUUCUGAGAAAUGCGUUGUUAGGUGAUUUCAUCAUCCUGCAACAUCAGAGUGUGCCCCGCGCUCAUGGAUGAGACAGCCUGCCCCACACCCAGGCUGUGGGGGACGGGAUGGCCUGUUGCUUCUGGACCAGACGCCUGCACAGCACAUUAACUGUGCUGAAUGCUGUAGGCAGUUGUAACGCAAUGACCCUGUAUUCAGUGGAUCAGCUGGCACCACCCAAAUAGAUAAAUUGGCCCAUCUGGUCUUGUGGCCCCCACCCAGGAAUGGACUCAGCUCAAGAGGACAGCUUCAGCUCCCUAAGAUUUUAUCUUGGACCCGACCAAUCAGCACUCCCGACUUACUGGCCCUCUACUCACCAAGUUAUCCUUAAAAACCUCAAUCCCUGAGUUUUCAGAGAGACUGAUUUGAAUAAUAAUAAAACUCCGGUCUUCCACA
rnacentral:lncRNA from 1 species